rnacentral:lncRNA from 1 species
UUGGAAGCGUUGAGCUCACUUUUUAGAGCCAUUAUCUCAUUUUCAGAUUGACGUGUCUGCUGCAACUGAACCUUUAAAUUUCCGGAUUCAUCCAGGUAUUUAUGUCUUUCAUAUUCAGUGACUGUAAGUUUUGACUCAAGGGCAUUUAUAGUGCUUUUGAAUUUCAGUUCUCUUGAUUUGUAGUCCUCCACCAGUUUUGCCAAUUUUUCAUGUUCAGCUAUCUGCAUUUCCAUUUUAGUUUUGAAAUCAGCAAGCUCAGUUGUUUGCUCUUUCAACUUUUGUUCAUAUUGAGUCUGCAUCGUAUUGACCUCAGUCUUAAACAAAAUCACUUUAGAUUGAGCUUCUCCAAAAGCAUAUUCCAGUUUGUCUUUUUCAGCACGUAAUUCAGAUACUUCAAGCAAAGCAUUGGAAGCUAUUCUCUCUUUUUCAUCAUAGGCUGCUGAAAAUUUCAGGCUGAGGUUCUCUAUUUCUAGUUUAAGGUUCUGAAUGUCUACCAUCUUCUCCAUUUGCAACUCAUUCAAUAAGUUUUGACCCUGCGCCAUAUGUUUUUUAUUCUCAUCCAAAAUACCAUCCAUAUCUGAAGUUAAAUCCUUCUCUUUUAAUGCAAUAUCUUCCAGCAUUAGAGAAAAUUUCUUUUCUAGGAAUCCCACUCUUCCACAGCAAUCAGCAAACCUUUCACUUGAUUCCCUCAACCUGGCUCCCAUAAGGGAGCAAUUGUCCUCUAACUCCAACUUCUGCUGCCUCAAAUAUCCAUUUAGAUUCUCAAAUGAAUUGCACUCGUCUUCAGGAUUUUCAAUGGUAAUUUGUAGCUGCUGAUUUUCUCCUCUGAGAUAUUCAGAUUCUUCUUGUGCUUCUGACCAAUGAAAUUGUGUCGCCUUUAGUUUUUGUUUCAAAUCUUCUAUGGAAGAAUCCAUCUCAUACUGCAUCUCCAUAAUCUUCUCUCGGAGCCUUGCAGCUUGAUUUCUAUCAUUCUCUAGCUCUGAUAAUUGGGACUCUUGUUCGUUUGUCAAAUCUCUCACUUCAUCUUCUAAAGCAGAAACACGCAUUGACAGCUGUCCAUUUUCAUGUUCUAUAUCUGAUAUGUGGAGCAUCAUUUCAUGCGUUCUUUCUUUUAUCCUGUCAUCCAUGUGUUCCUCUAGUUGACUUUUCUCUUGUUCAAGAUGAUAAACCUUGGCUUUCAACUUGCUCAGGAGCUUCUUUAGAACCCCAAUCUCCUUUUCUUUACUUGAUGUGUCAGCCUCAUCGCUAUCCAUAUCAGAUGUUUUAUUAGUUAGAUGAGUUUGCUGCUGUAAUAAGGGUCAUGUUGAUCUUUCAGGAUUUCUCUGUCAUUCUUUAAUGACGACUUUUUUCUAUUACUGCGAACUUGAUUGGUAUUCUUAACCAUAGAAUUCUGAUAAAUCAAAGAAAGAAAAUUAUCAGUUGUGUCUUCACAAUGAUAUGUAAUUAAUGAAAAAGAGACACUUACUUUUGAAGCCUUCUGAUCAUCGUGAACAGUUUUCCUGUUUAACUUCGAAACUUGAUUUCGCUUUUGUUCCUUAAACAGUUUCAAUUCUUCUUCAAAGGCCUGAGCUUUUCUCUGAAAUUCAGCCUUUUCCUGUUCAAGUUGUUGUAUGGUCUGUUGAAGCUGGCUAUUUAUUCUUUUGAUGUUAUUGAGCUCAGUAUCAUGAUGAGCACAUCUUGUUUCUCUUGCCUUCAAGUCGUUCUCCAACUGCAUAAUCCUUUCUUCAAUGGAUGCUCUAGUUCUCUUGCAGUGCUCCAAUUCUGAUGCAGCCGUCUCCAAUCUUGAUACCUUUUGUUCCAAUGAUGUAUUCUCUGCCUUCAGAUCUUCACAUAGAUCAGAUGUCAAGCAUAAUGAGGCUUCCAGUCGUUCUUUCUCAGUAUUGGAAGCGUUGAGCUCACUUUUUAGAGCCAUUAUCUCAUUUUCAGAUUGACGUGUCUGCUGCAACUGAACCUUUAAAUUUCCGGAUUCAUCCAGGUAUUUAUGUCUUUCAUAUUCAGUGACUGUAAGUUUUGACUCAAGGGCAUUUAUAGUGCUUUUGAAUUUCAGUUCUCUUGAUUUGUAGUCCUCCACCAGUUUUGCCAAUUUUUCAUGUUCAGCUAUCUGCAUUUCCAUUUUAGUUUUGAAAUCAGCAAGCUCAGUUGUUUGCUCUUUCAACUUUUGUUCAUAUUGAGUCUGCAUCGUAUUGACCUCAGUCUUAAACAAAAUCACUUUAGAUUGAGCUUCUCCAAAAGCAUAUUCCAGUUUGUCUUUUUCAGCACGUAAUUCAGAUACUUCAAGCAAAGCAUUGGAAGCUAUUCUCUCUUUUUCAUCAUAGGCUGCUGAAAGUUUCAGGCUGAGGUUCUCUAUUUCUAGUUUAAGGUUCUGAAUGUCUACCAUCUUCUCCAUUUGCAACUCAUUCAAUAAGUUUUGACCCUGCGCCAUAUGUUUUUUAUUCUCAUCCAAAAUACCAUCCAUAUCUGAAGUUAAAUCCUUCUCUUUUAAUGCAAUAUCUUCCAGCAUUAGAGAAAAUUUCUUUUCUAGGAAUCCCACUCUUCCACAGCAAUCAGCAAAUCUUUCACUUGAUGCCCUCAACCUGGCUCCCAUAAGGGAGCAGUUGUCCUCUAACUCCAACUUUUGCUGCCUUAAAUAUCCAUUUAGCUUCUCAAAUGAAUUGCACUCGUCUUCAAGAUUUUCAAUGGUAAUUUGUAGCUGCUGAUUUUCUCCUCUGAGAUAUUCAGAUUCUUCUUGUGCUUCUGACCAAUGAAAUUGUGUCGCCUUUAGUUUUUGUUUCAAAUCUUCUAUGGAAGAAUCCAUCUCAUACUGCAUCUCCAUAAUCUUCUCUCGGAGCCUUGCAGCUUGAUUUCUAUCAUUCUCUAGCUCUGAUAAUUGGGACUCUUGUUCGUUUGUCAAAUCUCUCACUUCAUCUUCUAAAGCAGAAACACGCAUUGACAGCUGUCCAUUUUCAUGUUCUAUAUCUGAUAUGUGGAGCAUCAUUUCAUGCGUUCUUUCUUUUAUCCUGUCAUCCAUGUGUUCCUCUAGUUGACUUUUCUCUUGUUCAAGAUGAUAAACCUUGGCUUUCAACUUGCUCAGGAGCUUCUUUAGAACCCCAAUCUCCUUUUCUUUACUUGAUGUGUCAGCCUCAUCGCUAUCCAUAUCAGAUGUUU